GUGGUGGCUCAGUGGUAGAGUACUUGCCUCGCAUGUUGAGGCACUGGGUUCAAUUCUCAGUACCACA
rnacentral:tRNA from 1 species